rnacentral:rRNA from 1 species
CCUACGGGGGGCAGCAGUCGGGAAUAUUGCGCAAUGGAGGAAACUCUGACGCAGUGACGCCGCGUAUAGGAAGAAGGUUUUCGGAUUGUAAACUAUUGUCGUUAGGGAAGAUAAAAGACAGUACCUAAGGAGGAAGCUCCGGCUAACUACGUGCCAGCAGCCGCGGUAAUACGUAGGGAGCAAGCGUUAUCCGGAUUUAUUGGGCGUAAAGAGAACGCAGGCGGUCUUUUAAGUCUGA